rnacentral:rRNA from 1 species
UACGUAGGGUGCAAGCGUUGUCCGGAAUUAUUGGGCGUAAAAGAGCUCGUAGGCGGUUCGUCACGUCGGCUGUGAAAACCUGAGGCUCAACCUCAGGCCUGCAGUCGAUACGGGGCGGACUUGAGUACUGCAGGGGGAGACUGGAAUUCCUGGUGUAGCGGUGAAAAUGCGCAGAUAUCAGGAGGGAAACACCCGGUGGGCGAAAGGCGGGGU